GAUGAACGCUGGCGGCGUGCCUAAUACAUGCAAGUCGAGCGAACGGACGAGAAGCUUGCUUCUCUGAUGUUAGCGGCGGACGGGUGAGUAACACGUGGAUAAUCUACCUAUAAGUCUGGGAUAACUUCGGGAAACCGGAGCUUAUCCCGGAUAAUAUUUUGAACCGUAUGGUUCAAAAGUGAAUGACGGUCUUGCUGUCACUUAUAGAUGGAUCCGCGCUGCAUUAGCUAGUUGGUAAGGUAACGGCUUACCAAGGCAACGAUGCAUAGCCGACCUGUGAGGGUGAUCGGCCACACUAGAGCGGAGACACGGUCCAGACGCCUACGGGAGGCAGCAGUAGGGAAUCGUCCGCAAUGGGCGAGAGCCUGACGGAGCAGCGCCGCGUGAGUGAUGAAGAUCUUCGGAUCGUAAAACUCUGUUAUUAGGGAAAAACAUAUGUGUAAGUAACUGUGCACAUCGUGACGGUACCUAAUCAGAAAGCCACGGCUAACUACGUG
rnacentral:rRNA from 1 species